UACAGAGGGUGCGAGCGUUAAUCGGAAUUACUGGGCGUAAAGCGCGCGUAGGCGGCUUUGCAAGUCGAGUGUGAAAUCCCCCAGGCUCAACCUGGGAACUGCAUUCGAGACUGCAUAGCUAGAGUAUGGGAGAGGGAAGUGGAAUUUCAGGUGUAGCGGUGAAAUGCGUAGAUAUCUGAAGGAACACCAGUGGCGAAAGCGACUUCCUGGACCAAUACUGACGCUCAUGUGCGAAAGCGUGGGGAGCAAACAGG
rnacentral:rRNA from 1 species